UGAGCCUGGGCUCUGCGGCCCCCGCAGGACUUCCUCUUCCUGGGCGACUUCAACGCGGACUGCAGCUACGUGCGGGCGCAGGACUGGCCGGCCAUCCGCCUGCGUAGCAGCGAGGUCUUCAAGUGGCUCAUCCUGGACAGCGCCGACACCACCGUGGGCAACUCGGACUGUGCCUAUGACCGCAUCGUGGUGUGCGGCGCCCGCCUGCGCAGGAGCCUGAAGCCCCAGUCGGCUGCUGUACACAACUUCCAGGAGGAGUUCGGCCUGGACCAGGCUCAGGCCCUUGCCAUCAGUGACCAUUUCCCUGUGGAGGUGACCCUGAAGUCCCACUGAAAACCUUCAAGGCCUGCUCAGGGCACACCGCCUCCAGACUUGACAUGAGGAGGACGCUGGCCUCCACAGGCUCCUCCUGGGUGGGUGGCCAAGCCCCAGCAAGGCGUGGGGCAGGGCUGGUCGGACAAGUGGCUGUGGACACAUCACAGGCCCCCCUCAGCCUGUCUUCCCAUCAGUAAAAUGGGCUUUUACACCUACCUCAUAGGGUUGUGAGGGGCACCCUACAGGAUGCUGGGCUGUGGCUACGCGCAAUAAACAAGAGCAAGCGCUUGGUGAGGACCACACUCUGGUCAGCUU